ensembl:lincRNA
UCCCUUUACUCUGGCCACUCUGAAUGUCAUUGGUCCUCCUUGAGCCCUCCUGAGCCCUCUGCCCAGAGUAAUGCCAGAGUGGAGGACCACGGCUGAAGGCAGAGGCUGUUGGCCUGGGGUGGAGAGGGCAGAUUCCUCUGGGUGGGAGGUGACACUGGGCAGCCUUGGAUGAAGUGAAUACUGGGUGUGGGGAAGCAAAAAUAAAUAGAGAAACAAACGGAUUAAUUUUGCUUCUUUCCAGGGACUUGAUUUUCUACAAGUGGUGCUCCAAGAGGCUUCUACACCCCAGCAGGGAGGCGAGCACCGUUUUGAGUGGCCGGGCUGGCGAGGAGGUGCAGACCCCAGCCAGCUGGAGGGGCUCUGCCCUGGUGGUGUUCCCACUCCCACCUAUUCGCAGGGCGCCGGGGAGGGCUGCAGGUGUUCUAUUUCCCGGCUUGCAGCGCAAGGAGGGGAAUCGCCUGACCUUCCCCUUCUCCCCUGCCCCGCUUCCUUUCUCUGCUCCCACAGGUGGAAGUCACCAGUAGAAACAACCCUUCACCGUUUGGAGGGCUGGGAAAGAGGGGCCAUGAGGGCCCCGGGAGAGCCACACGGGCGGCAGGCAAGGGGCGGGGCAGUCUCCCUUCCGGCUUCAGGGACCAAAGGGUGAAGGGCAAGGGGAGCUCAGGGAAUGAAGGAAUGCUCCCGACUGAUGUUUAACCCAGGACUCCGAGACUCCGACUUGUCACAGUCCUGUAGACCUCCAGGUCCAGCACCGGCGGCGCAGCGCUCCACUGGCCCGGAACGCGCACACCGGAGGAAAUGGAAAGUGCCCUUGAAACGUCAGAUGUCACCGUCUUCAUCAGCACUCUUGGAAUUACGGCCAAGGCGGUUUCUUCUUUUGCUGAGACUUGACUCACUCCCAGCAGAGGGACGAUAGCGGCCUGGUCCCGAGCGUUUAUUCAGGUGCAGGCGUCGUUCUUGGUCUGUGUGUCCGGAGCCCCCGGUAGGGAGGGAGCGCAAUUCCCGCUGCGUCCGCUGGGUGGCGCCGGCGCCGCGCCGUGUCCCAGGCUGAGGGGACACCGCGCUGCCCAGUCCGUGGCCGGACGCCCCGCGCCCCCGCCCGGCCCCACGCGCUGCAGCCGCCGCCUCUCCUCGGCUUCCUCUUGCUUUCCAGUAACUCUCCUUCUGGGGAAAAGGCUUCUCACGGAGCAGGCUCGGAGCCUACGGGGCUGGCCUCGGACUGGAUGGGGAUUGGGGGCAGGAGCUGGUUUUUCAAUGAGAAGAAUGAACAGACCUAGUAGGCAUUGCCUUCAGACCCAGAGAAAAUGGAUAAUGAUGAAGCCCACAGAUUUCAUUCCAGAAGUGACUUUGCUGCAGAGGAGCGAGGAGAGCUGCCUGGCAACACAACGCAUCGCUGUGCAUAAACUUUGUUUACAGCCAAGGCUGGAGUAAAGGAACAGAUGGCAAGAAAAUCGGAUUUAAAGAAAGGAAGGAUGUGCCUGCAUCUGGGAGCUCGGUAAAUCUCUUGGCUUCUGGUGUGCAUACAAGGGUGACGUCUAGCUACCCAAGCAGUCGCGUCCCAGUUUGCUGUUGAUUUUUGCCUGUUUGGAUCUGUCUCUGAGGAUGGUUAAUACAUCUUAUUACAAGCAUUUAUCUCAUCCCUCCCACAGGAAAUGUGUUUUCCCAGAGAUUUGUAUGUUCCCUAACCUUUUAUGGAAAGCAGUUUCUUGAUCAUCCAUGUGAUUGUGUAUCUAAAAUUUCAAGAAUAUUUAAGCUGUUAAUCCUGCUUGUCUGUAGAAGAUGGGUUUAUAUUUCUAUGAUCUUGGAAAUAUUUACAAUGAGUGU